AGUGGCACAAAGGAUUUAGUGCACCUUGCAGCUAAAAAUUGCCUUGGGCUGGACAAAAGAAACACACAUGCCAUUCCCUUUCUCUCUUCCUGUCACGGCUUAGGCUGUGCAUAUUUUUUUCCCUUUUGUCUCCCACUCCAUGACACACAUCGCAGAUGUUAUUUGCAUCUCGGUGUGUCUCAAAACGCUACGAGGCUUCUUGCCUAGCAGUGAUGAAUUCAGUGUAUGCAGCAUAGAACUGUGAUUUCCCUCAGGGUCCUUUGUAGUAAUAAUUUUGGUAAAUAAAGGCUGGAAUCAGGAUCUCUGUUGUAAUAGGAUUUUGUUUGUGCAAGGGCUAGUAGCCAUGUCCCCCUGAUGCUGCCCUGUAUUAGGAUUGUAGACUUUAUGACAGCUUUGUGUGUGGGUGGGAAGAGUGGGCUGGCACAGAACACCCUUGAAGGGAGGGAGAGGACUAGGACUCACCUGUGGGAAGUAUUGGGAAGAUUGUAGGCCAGAAACACAGUCCUGAUGGGCACUUCCACUGUCUCUUGAAUUGCUGGAUCUCAGCAGACCGGUUUGUAUUCCUGACAGGAGGGGGCUGGAUUUCUGCAAAGACCCCGUGGCCAAGGCAAAGUCCCCAUCCUGCAUAAGGUGCCAAAGGCCAUAAGUCUUGGAGGAGAAGAGAGAGCUGGAGAGGAUAAGGUCAGAACAGGCUCCAGCAGCUGUUGCUGAUGCUGUGACAGCAUUGAUCUGUGUGGAGGAAAGCUGCAACCUCUUCCUUCAUCUCUGGACUUGCAGAACUUGUGAUUCCGUGAGCUGGUGACUGCGGUGACUCGCAAUCCCAAGGCAGCUGCCUUUCUGAGAAGCUCACCUCUACAAAGCACACACCAUUGCUGAGAGAGCAAUUUCUCAGCCCCCUCAAAUGAAGGGUGCAAGAAAACAGUGCCUUUAAUUAUGCCUGCUUGGGAGAGAGGGCUUCUGCUGUGAUGCUGGAUGGAGACCACACCUCAGAGGCUGUGCCUGUGUUUAUCUUCUCUCCUGGGUGCCAACGUGACAGGACCUUGUGAGAACCCCAGGGUGGAAACAGUUCUGGAGAAGAGUGGUACCAAGAAGCCCCUGCUCAGGCUAGAGACCCAGUGCCAGAUGCUGUAUGUUCUCAUGGAAGGAGUGGGAGCCAGCCUUGGAGAACCAUGCAGGAAGAGCCCAGGCCCUGACUUGGAGUGCUCUGUGCUUCAGGGCUUCUGCUCCUCUGUAUGUUCCAAAUCCCCAACCCUUCUUGCUCCAGAACUUCUGAAGUGCACCUCCCACCUCCCUGAAAUGCCUUUCAGCUCUGCCUGAUGCAGCAGGACCUGCUCCAUUUCUCCUGUCAGAACCUCUGCAAUGGGAUUUCAGAAACAGGGACGUGAACUGCGCCUCCAGAAAUCCUGAGAUGGUGGCUACAGAUCAUAGGCUUAUGUUGAAUCUGCAUUACCUGCAUGUGGGAGCGAAAAGCAUCAUCUCCUCAAACAUGCCUGCAACCAAAAUCAUUAAAUUGUUAAGACUGGAAAAGACCUCUAAGAUCAGUGAGUCCAGCUGUUAACCCAGCACUGCUGUGUGCACCUCUGAGCCAUGUCCCCAAAUAGUCCAGACAGCCACGGGAAAGCAGGAUGCUUUAUGUCUGAUCCUGUGUUGUGAGAAGGUUCUGUGGCAGAGCUUAAGGCUCAUACAUUGACAUUGGAUGCUGUUGAAAAGGGAUGUGAUUGGUUUUUUCAUAGUGAGUGGCUUUUUGGCAUUUCUGAGAAGCAAACUCCCAACUAGGAGGUAGAACAAGCUGGGCAUGUGAGAUGGGAGCUGUGCCAUGAGCCAGAGCAUCUGCUUUAUUGGAGAAUCUGAACUGUCCUGUUGCUUUCAUCACAUCCCCAGACAUCUCAUGGCAUCUCCCUGCAAAGAAACAUCUGGAAGGGUGCAAAUGCCAAUCUGUGUUUGUGCUGGCCCUCUGUAACAAAGCCAGCCACAUCCCAGCACCAGUUGUACCAGGAAGAGAUGGAAAUACUCCAUUAACAGUUAACCACUGGAGUGGGGGCCCUGCCUGGGAGCCUGGCCUGGAAAUGGUUUUGUGUGGCAGUAUGGGGAUGGGCUAAAAUCAGGGAUGUUAAUCUAUGCUUUAUCUUGCAGCUGUAUGGUUUUAUCUUCCUUUCUAGAUUGGCUUUAAGAUACGGGAAAACAUUGAGAUUCUUCCCACAGGAGAGAUUUGCUGAGGUCCUUAGCUGGUACAAAUCAAUCAGGCUCUAACUCACAAAGCACCCUAUGGGGACACAACUUCGAUAGGAACCUUCCCUCUGAAGUUUGAUGUGAUUUCCUUUUCGUGCAGCCACACAUCUUCCUCUUUUCAUUGCAAAAAUAAAAGCUGUGACAAAACUUGGCGUAGCCCCA
rnacentral:lncRNA from 1 species